GAGGAAGCAUUGUUCUUGUCUUCC
rnacentral:siRNA from 1 species